rnacentral:rRNA from 1 species
UGGGGAAUUUUGGACAAUGGGCGAAAGCCUGAUCCAGCAAUGCCGCGUGUGUGAAGAAGGCCUUCGGGUUGUAAAGCACUUUUGUCCGGAAAGAAAUCCUUGGCUCUAAUACAGUCGGGGGAUGACGGUACCGGAAGAAUAAGCACCGGCUAACUACGUGCCAGCAGCCGCGGUAAUACGUAGGGUGCAAGCGUUAAUCGGAAUUACUGGGCGUAAAGCGUGCGCAGGCGGUUUGCUAAGACCGAUGUGAAAUCCCCGGGCUCAACCUGGGAACUGCAUUGGUGACUGGCAGGCUAGAGUAUGGCAGAGGGGGGUAGAAUUCCACGUGUAGCAGUGAAAUGCGUAGAGAUGUGGAGGAAUACCGAUGGCGAAGGCAGCCCCCUGGCAAGUACUGACGCUCAUGCACGAAAGCGUGGGGAGCAAACNGGAUUAAUNCCCUGGUAGUCCACGCCCUAAAANGAUGUCAACUAGUUGUUGGGGGAUUCAUUUCCUUAGUAACGUAGCUAACGCGUGAAGUUGACCGCCUGGGGAGUACGGUCGCAAGAUUAAAACUCAAAUAAUUGAC